rnacentral:ncRNA from 2 species
AUCGCGAUGCGAUCGGCGCCGGUUUUGCUCCCGACGCAACAUAUGUCAAUGGCACGCAGGGAGCGAAUCCGGGGAACGUGACUGUGUCGCCGCACCCGGAAUCAUUCGGCGGACAUCCGAACGGCUCUCCAGGCCCGAUGUGGAUGUCCGUCGAUUUCUUU